rnacentral:rRNA from 1 species
CGCCUUGCCAGCCCGCUCAGAAACUCAAAGGAAUUGACGGGGGCCCGCACAAGCGGUGGAGCAUGUGGUUUAAUUCGACGAUACGCGAGGAACCUUACCUGGGCUCAAAUGUAUGUUGACGUAUUCUGAAAGGGAUACUUCUUCGGACAAUAUACAAGGUGCUGCAUGGUUGUCGUCAGCUCGUGCCGUGAGGUGUCGGGUUAAGUCCCAUAACGAGCGCAACCCCUAUCAUUAGUUGCCAUCAGGUCAAGCUGGGGACUCUAAUGAAACUGCCUACGCAAGUAGUGAGGAAGGUGGGGAUGACGUCAAAUCAGCACGGCCCUUACGUCCAGGGCUACACACGUGCUACAAUGGCCGGUACAAAGGGCAGCUACCUGGUGACAGGAUGCUAAUCUCAAAAGCCGGUCUCAGUUCGGAUCGGAGUCUGCAACCCGACUCCGUGAAGCUGGAAUCGCUAGUAAUCGUGAAUCAGAAUGUCACGGUGAAUACGUUCCCGGGCCUU